rnacentral:rRNA from 1 species
AGAGUUUGAUCCUGGCUCAGGAUGAACGCUGGCGGCAUGCCUAAUACUUGCAAGUCGAACGAGAGGAAGGAAAGCUUGCUUUUCUGAAUCUAGUGGCGAACGGGUGAGUAACACGUAGGUAACCUGCCCAUGUGUCCGGGAUAACUUCUGGAAACGGAUGCUAAAACCGGAUAGGUAGCAGACAAGCAUUUGACUGCUAUUAAAGUGGCUUUGGCCAUGAACAUGGAUGGACCUGCGGUGCAUUAGCUGGUUGGUGAGGUAACGGCCCACCAAGGCGACGAUGCAUAGCCGGCCUGAGAGGGCGGACGGCCACAUUGGGACUGAGACACGGCCCAAACUCCUACGGGAGGCAGCAGUAGGGAAUUUUCGUCAAUGGGGGGAACCCUGAACGAGCAAUGCCGCGUGAGUGAGGAAGGUCUUCGGAUCGUAAAGCUCUGUUGUAAGAGAAAAACGGCACUCAUAGGGAAUGAUGAGUGAGUGAUGGUAUCUUACCAGAAAGUCACGGCUAACUACGUGCCAGCAGCCGCGGUAAUACGUAGGUGGCGAGCGUUAUCCGGAAUGAUUGGGCGUAAAGGGUGCGUAGGUGGCAGAUCAAGUCUGGAGUAAAAGGUAUGGGCUCAACCCGUACUGGCUCUGGAAACUGAUCAGCUAGAGAACAGAAGAGGACGGCGGAACUCCAUGUGUAGCGGUAAAAUGCGUAGAUAUAUGGAAGAACACCGGUGGCGAAGGCGGCCGUCUGGUCUGGAUUCUGACACUGAAGCACGAAAGCGUGGGGAGCAAAUAGGAUUAGAUACCCUAGUAGUCCACGCCGU